rnacentral:pre_miRNA from 1 species
UCUUAAGGACGAGCAAAGAAAGUGGUUUCUUGAGAUGGAUUGUACCCUUGGUGAAGAUUCUGUGAA